AAUCAACGCUGGCGGCGUGCCUAACACAUGCAAGUCGAACGCGAAAGGGACUUCGGUCCUGAGUAGAGUGGCGAACGGGUGAGUAACGCGUGGGUGACCUACCCUCGAGUGGGGGAUAACGUUCCGAAAGGGACGCUAAUACCGCAUGACAUUCCUGGUUUGAAGACUGGGAAAUCAAAGCCGGGGACCGCAAGGCCUGGCGCUUGAGGAGGGGCCCGCGUCUGAUUAGCUAGUUGGCGGGGUAACGGCCCACCAAGGCGACGAUCAGUAGCCGGCCUGAGAGGGCGGACGGCCACACUGGGACUGAGACACGGCCCAGACUCCUACGGGAGGCAGCAGUGGGGAAUUGUUCGCAAUGGGCGCAAGCCUGACGACGCAACGCCGCGUGGAGGAUGAAGGUCUUCGGAUUGUAAACUCCUGUUGAUCGGGACGAAAAGCUUCAACCUAAUACGUUGAAGACUGACGGUACCGGUUGAGGAAGCCACGGCUAACUCUGUG
rnacentral:rRNA from 1 species